GUAAGGAAUAUUGGACAAUGGACGCAAGUCUGAUCCAGCCAUGCCGCGUGAAGGAUUAAGGUCCUCUGGAUUAUAAACUUCUUUUAUAAGGGACGAAAAAAGGCUUUUCUAAGUCGUCUGACGGUACCUUAUGAAUAAGCACCGGCUAACUCCGUGCCAGCAGCCGCGGUAAUACGGAGGGUGCAAGCGUUAUCCGGAUUCACUGGGUUUAAAGGGUGCGUAGGCGGGCAGGUAAGUCAGUGUUGAAAUCCUAGAGCUUAACUCUAGAACUGCCAUUGAUACUAUCUUUCUUGAAUAUUGUGGAGGUAAGCGGAAUAUGUCAGGUAGCGGUGAAAUGCUUAGAUAUGACAUAGAACACCUAUUGCGAAGGCAGCUUACUACGCAUAUAUUGACGCUGAGGCACGAAAGCGUGGGGAUCAAACAGGAUUAGAAACCCUUGUAGUCC
rnacentral:rRNA from 1 species